GCCAGCAUGGCAUAGUGGUUUAAGUGUUGGAUUACAACACUAGAGAUCAGGGUUCAAUUCCCAGCUCAGCCA